rnacentral:lncRNA from 1 species
AUAAGUUCAAAUACAGUAUCUGAGGGGGAUUGGUUCCAGAACCUCCUGCAGAUACCCAAAUCCAGAAUAGUGCAGAAAGGUGUAUACUAAACAACAUUUGGAAGAAGAAAAACCUGGCAUCAUUCUGAGAAAGUAUUUUCUCUAACUCUGAGCAUGCAGUUAAUUCUAUGGAUAAACUGAAAGGAACAGGAUGGAUAUUGGACAGCUUCCCUGCUUUUCUA